UAGGACUCAGCCGUGAGCCUUCCAUAUAAUGGGAAGUUUGAGUUGCAGCUCCUGCUGUCACCUCCAGCUCUGCAUUCUUGUCACUGAGGCCCUGUGCCCACAUUGAGGCUUCUGCCACCUGGAUACUUCGGGCUCUGAGAUGACCUCUUCCCAGGAGGGUGUCUCCAAAAGCAGGACCGAGCUGGCUGCAGUCCAAAGCCUUGAUGCAAAUACCCAGAUGCCUGAAGUUGAGCUACGGGAUAUGAGUAUCCAGGUGCCUGAAGUUGAGCUACGGGACAUGAGUAUCCAGGUGCCUGAAGUUGAGCUACAGGACAUGAGUACCCAGAUGCCUGAUGUUAUGGUUGAUGAUGCUACUACCCAGGUGCCUGAGGUUAAGUACCAUGGAAAUCAGACUGUCCCAACCAGUUCAUGAAAUUGUGGUGUUUCCUAUCCAGGAGUGAAAGCUAGGCAGGGGAUCACAUGUGAAUCUCUAAAAAAGUUGUCUUUCUGGUCUUCUGCCCUAGAAGCUGAAGGAAGAA
ensembl:lncRNA